GGGGUUGUAACUCAGUGGUAGAGUGCAUGCUUUGCACAUGUGAGGUACUGGGUUCGAAUCUCAGCACCACA
rnacentral:tRNA from 1 species